rnacentral:rRNA from 1 species
GUAAGGAAUAUUGCCCAAUGGGCGAAAGCCUGAGGCAGCAACGCCGCGUGCCCGAAGAAGGCCUUCGGGUUGUAAAGGGCUUUUCUGGCUGAAGAGGAAGGACAGUAAGCCAGGAAGAAGAGACGGCUAACUACGUGCCAGCAGCCGCGGUAAAACGUAGGUCUCAAGCGUUAUCCGGAUUUACUGGGCGUAAAGCGCGGGCAGGCGGUGAGGCAAGUCUGACGUGAAAGCUCCUGGCUAAACUGGGAGAGGUCGUUAGGAACUGCCUGACUGGAGUGCAGCAGAGGGGCAUGGAAUUCCGGGUGGAGUGGUGAAAUGCGUAGAGAUCCGGAGGAACACCAGAGGCGAAGGCGGUGCCCUGGGCUGCAACUGACGCUGAGCCGCGAAAGCCAGGGGAGCGAACGGGAUUAGAUACCCGAGUAGUCC